rnacentral:rRNA from 1 species
UACGGGGGGGGCAAGCGUUGUUCGGAAUUACUGGGCGUAAAGGGCUCGUAGGUGGCCAACUAAGUCGGACGUGAAAUCCCCAGGCUCAACUUGGGAACUGCGUCCGAUACUGGAUGGCUUGAAUUCGGGAGAGGGAUGCAGAAUUCCAGGUGUAGCGGUGAAAUGCGUAGAUAUCUGGAGGAAUACCGGUGGCGAAGGCGGCAUCCUGGACCGAGAUUGACACUGAAAAGCGAAAGCCAGGGGAGCAAACGGG